rnacentral:tRNA from 1 species
GCCCGCCUAGCUCAAUCGGAUAGAGCGUCAGACUUUUACGUUUGUAGUACCUAGGCGGAUCAAUCUGAAGGCUGCGAGUUCGACCCUCGCGGUGGGCU